CCUACGGGAGGCAGCAGUAAGGAAUAUUGGUCAAUGGACGAAAGUCUGAACCAGCCAUCCCGCGUGCAGGAUGAAGGUCCUAUGGAUUGUAAACUGCUUUUAGCAGAGAAGAAAAGCAUUCAUUUAUGAGUGUCUGACGGUAUCUGCGGAAUAAGCACCGGCUAACUCCGUGCCAGCAGCCGCGGUAAUACGGAGGGUGCAAGCGUUAUCCGGAAUCACUGGGUUUAAAGGGUGCGUAGGCGGAAUAUUAAGUCAGUGGUGAAAGCCUGUCGCUUAACGAUAGAACUGCCAUUGAUACUGAUAUUCUUGAAUUGGGUUGAGGUUAGCGGAAUGUGACAUGUAGCGGUGAAAUGCAUAGAUAUGUCAUGGAACACCAAUUGCGAAGGCAGCUAGCUGGGCCUUGAUUGACGCUGAGGCACGAAAGCGUGGGUAGCGAACAGGAUUAGAUACCCUGGUAGUCCACGCCCUAAACGAUGCUAACUCGAUGUUUGGACUUAAGGUUUGAGCAUCCAAGGGAAACCGAUAAGUUAGCCACCUGGGGAGUACGACCGCAAGGUGAAACUCAAAUGAAUUGACGG
rnacentral:rRNA from 1 species